rnacentral:misc_RNA from 1 species
GAUGAAGAACGUAGCGAAAUGCGAUAAGUAGUGUGAAUUGCAGAAUUCAGUGAAUCAUCGAAUCUUUGAACGCACAUUGCGCCCCAUGGUAUUCCGUGGGGCAUGCCUGUUCGAGCGUCAUUUACCCCCUCAAGCUCCGCUUGGUGUUGGGCGUCUGUCCCGCUUCGCGCGCGGACUCGCCCCAAAGGUAUUGGCAGCGGUCGUGCCAGCUUCUCGCGCAGCACAUUGCGCUUCUCGAGGCACCGGUGGGCCCGCGUCCAUCAAGCUCACCCCCCCAGUUUGACCUCGGAUCAGGUAGGACUACCCGCUGAACUUAAGCAUAUCAAUAAGCGGAGGA